AUUUUACCAUUCCUUUUCCACCAGGAUCUGAGAACAACACUUGUGUACAAAGCAGGUUUCUAUACCAUCCCUUGGAUGGAAGGGAACAGCACAGAUAGACCAUGGCACCUCUUUUUGGUAUGGAUGGGAAAAACAGAAAGCAAGAGUGAGGCAAGAGGAUUAUGACUGAGAAAUACUUCUGGGACCAGGAGAUACACUGAGUAUUCAGCAAAUGAGCAAGCAUCCUAUUACACCCUCCUGGCUGUCUGCACCAGGUCUCUGCACGAGCCUUCUCACCUACCGUAUUCUUCAUACUCCCCUUUCCUGCACUUCUCUUGCUUCUCUGCAAGUCAUGGUGAGGAGAAGCCAACCUUAAGGCCACUGAUUGUGGGGAGGGGUCUUUUAAGACUUUUUCCACAGGCUUUUGAAUACAAGGAGAUGUUGCUACUUUUUGCUCCUCCAAGGCAAAGCACACCUAGGGGCUAUGGUUUUAAAUUUUCUGUUGGUGAGGAUUUGAAACCACACAAGUUUUCCAGCAUGCACAUAUAAGCAUAACCCUGUGGUUCAAGAUAAAAUGCUUCAAA
rnacentral:lncRNA from 1 species